GUUCACUUAUCGCAGAGUAAAUAUUAUUUUUUCCGGCACGAAUACAUUCAAUUAUAGACUUUAAUGGGAAUUAUUAUCAUGCCCAAGCCUCAGCUAAAGUUAAAUGUUGAUUUUAGUUCCUUCAAUGGGUAUCCGUGAGUAUUCCCUGAGUAUUCUUUUGUUUGGACCAAACCAGGCUGUGGUAUUCUUUCCCGAAAAUUGAUUUUCCAUGCCUUGCAUGUGCAAUGCAAUUUUCUGGAAAUUGUGGCAUAUGCCAUAGGCCCCUCUCCCCUGUGUGUGCUGUAAUUAACCUAACUGUUAUUUGAAGCCGCUCUCAAUAUUGAUUUUCUAUUUCCAUUUAGCAUUUCCCACAUGUGCGCCAGCACCACCGCAGAAACACAUCAAAGAGCCCCCUAACUCUCCCCCCAAUGGCAAUUACAACAUGUGGCAUGUUGUCGGUGGGCUGUUUGUUUGGCAUGGAUGGGGAACGAACUGCCACACGCAGUUAGGGGCUCACCCUAACGAAAAACGAUAUCGAUUUCCAAGCCCAAGAAUUAUUAUACUCCAUAUAAAUAAAUAAACAAUCGAACCUCGUCCGUCGUCGAGGCAAUUGCUUGGACCAUUUGUUGCAUACAAAAUUGAUCAACAAUUGAAUCAAUUUUUGUGAAUUAAGAGAAUAUUUACUCUUCCCUUCAUUCGAU
rnacentral:lncRNA from 1 species